rnacentral:rRNA from 1 species
AUUGAACGCUGGCGGCAGGCUUAACACAUGCAAGUCGAGCGGAGAUGAGGUGCUUGCACCUUAUCUUAGCGGCGGACGGGUGCGUAAUGCUUAGGAAUCUGCCUAUUAGUGGGGGACAACAUUCCGAAAGGAAUGCUAAUACCGCAUACGCCCUACGGGGGAAAGCAGGGGAUCUUCGGACCUUGCGCUAAUAGAUGAGCCUAAGUCGGAUUAGCUAGUUGGUGGGGUAAAGGCCUACUAAGGCGACGAUCUGUAGCGGGGCUGAGAGGAUGAUCCGCCACACUGGGACUGAGGCACGGCCCAGACUCCUACGGGAGGCAGCAGUGGGGAAUAUUGGACAAUGGGCGGAAGCCUGAUCCAGCCAUGCCGCGUGUGUGAAGAAGGCCUUUUGGUUGUAAAGCACUUUAAGCGAGGAGGAGGCUACCUGGAUUAAUACUCUAGGAUAGUGGACGUUACUCGCAGAAUAAGCACCGGCUAACUCUGUGCCAGCCGCCGCGGUAACAC